AUGACUGGCCUGGAGACUGAAGUCCUUUGUUUAUCUGCAGAACAGGUGCAUUAUGGACAACAGUAGAGCUGCAAUACCCAGCAUUGUGCCUUAUCCCCAAACUAAAGGGACUCCGUGUAGGGGGGAGAGGGUAUUUCAGUAUCUAUACCAAAUUAGUCAGGCACAUCA
ensembl:misc_RNA